rnacentral:misc_RNA from 1 species
GAUGAGAACGUAGCGAAAUGCGAUAAGUAAUGUGAAUUGCAGAAUUCAGUGAAUCAUCGAAUCUUUGAACGCACAUUGCGCCCGCCAGCACUCUGGCGGGCAUGCCUGUUCGAGCGUCAUUUCAACCAUCAAGCCCCCAGGGGCUUGUGCUGGGGCCCUGCGGCUGCCCGCAGGCCCUGAAAACCAGUGGCGGGCUCGCUAGUCACACCGAGCGCAGUAGCACAUCUCGCUCAGGGCGUGCGGCGGGCUCCUGCCGUGAAACCCCCCACUGUAACCCCAAAGGUUGACCUCGGAUCAGGUAGGAAUACCCGCUGAACUUAAGCAUAUCAAUAAGCGGAGGA